rfam:Paenibacillus selenitireducens strain ES3-24 ES3-24_scaffold4, whole genome shotgun sequence.
AGCACCUUUAAUUCAGUCCCGUGAGGCUGGCAAGGUAAACGUUUGAGAAGGAUGAUCCCGUGGAUUAUCUGUGUUGUUCUGCGCGAACAACCAGAUGCCAAUAACGGACCCUUCUAUAUGUGAACGACUAACGACAACUCCUUGCUUUCGGGCAAGGAGUUUUUUGUUU